rnacentral:lncRNA from 1 species
UAGCCUUAGGCAGCACAAUAGCUGGGCAGCUGCUUACCCCUCCAAGUUAUCACUUACUAUUUAACAUGUUUCAUCUGGGCUGCUCUUAAUUACAGUUGGGCAGCCCUCAAGGCCACGCUCUCUUGGCCCUUGGCUGUUGCGAGAAAUAUUAAAAAAUGAACCAUCAUGUUCCUGCACUUGUGCCAGCAACGCUCUCCCCAGCGGCCUCGCUGGCCAUGCGCUGGCGGGCAGUGACAGACCUGUUUGUAUCUCUUGGAGACUCUGACUCAGUUCCAGAAUGUCUCCAGCCAGCCCACUAAGUUCCCACUGGUGAGUCUCUACCACACCAGCCCCAUGCUCCAAAUCCCCCAUGGCCUUUGUGAGGCACCUCAGGCAAACUCAGGCUUUGCUGUACCUUUCUCUCUUGAACCCAGUUGAGCCUCUGUGUGAAGGAAAACACAACACAAACUUAGUUCAGUUCAGAAACGACAGUAAAAUCCUAAUCUUGUAGGCCUUAUUAAAUCUAAAUCCUUUGGUGGCUAAUCCUGACAGAUCUGCCAUUGAAACUGGGAGACUCUCAUAGCUACAUCUUGUCCUCACCCUAUCCCCAUCCUAAAAGACCUCUCUCUUGCUUCCUCUCUUCCUCCGUCCAACCCGUAAGUCCCUCUUACUCACCCGGUGAUUAGCUCCUUUUUUCACUAGGGGAUUGGUUCACAAGAAUAGCACCAGGUCCAUCCAUAACACAUGGCAGCUCUCUUUCUCCCUCCUGCGUAUCCUUCUUCUAUUCUAUGACUGCUCUUUCUUCUCCCUCCUCCUGGCCCUCUCUCUCCAAGCCCAUGAAACCUAAACCCUACCUAUAUCUGUUCUGCCCAGCUAUUGACAUCUUUAUUUACCAAUCACAAUUAACUGGGGACCUUGUCACAGGGGCUAUGGUACAGACUCCAGGUCUUGUGGCCCCUCACUUAGCAUUACAAUAGACAGUAAAAGAUACACCCUCCACAAGUUAAGGCAACUGUUUAAAGAAAAGAGGGCUCAGAGCUUAAGCUAGAAGAGCUCAGAGAAGGUGUGACUUGUGGAGUCGGGUGUGGAAGAGCACUGUGCACGUGGGGAGCUGAUGCUUGCCAGGGAUGAAUGGGAGGGAUGAGUGUGCCAUAGAGUGCCAUGAGUGUGCUGUAGAUUCAGAAGCUGAUGUCUGGGCACAUGGUGGGAGCUGGCCAGAUGGCCACAAUGGAAAGGACGUAAGGGGCAAAAGAACUUAGACUAUUGACAGCAAUAUCAGUGAACCUGUGGCCCUUAGUGCUAAGAUAGACAGAAAGCUGAGUAACAAAAGCCUGGCUUAUAAUCCCAGGACCUAAGGAGGCUGAAGCAGGAAGACUUGAAAUUUAAGGCCAGCCUAAGCAACUUAACAAAACCCUAUCUCCAACUUAAAAAAAUU